GCAGUAAUGCAAGGCAUACGGCUCAGUAACACGUAGUCAACCUACCCUAUGGACGAGAAUAAUCUCGGGAAACUGAGCAUAAUUCUUGAUAGAUCAUAAUGCCUGGAAUGGUUUAUGGUUAAAAUGAUUCGUCGCCAUAGGAUGGGACUGCGGCCUAUCAGCUUGUUGGUGAGGUAAUGGCCCACCAAGGCGAUUACAGGUACGGGCUCUGAGAGGAGAAGCCCGGAGAUGGGUACUGAGACACGGACCCAGGCCCUAUGGGGCGCAGCAGGCGAGAAAACUUUGCAAUGUGCGAAAGCACGACAAGGUUAAUCCGAGUGAUUUCUGCUAAAGAAAUCUUUUGCCAGUCGUAAAACCGCUGGUGAAUAAGGGGUGGGCAAGUUCUGGUGUCAGCCGCCGCGGUAAAACCAGCACCUCAAGUGGUCAGGAUGAUUAUUGGGCCUAAAGCAUCCGUAGCCGGCUUUGUAAGUUUUCGGUUAAAUCCAUGUGCUCAACGCAUGGGCUGCCGAAAAUACUGCAUAGCUAGGGAGUGGGAGAGGUA
rnacentral:rRNA from 1 species